rnacentral:rRNA from 1 species
UUGACCUCGAAUCAGGUAGGAAUACCCGCUGAACUUAAGCAUAUCAAUAAGCGGAGGAAAAGAAACCAACAGGGAUUGCCCCAGUAACGGCGAGUGAAGCGGCAACAGCUCAAAUUUGAAAUCUGGCUCUCGGGCCCGAGUUGUAAUUUGUAGAGGAUGCUUUUGGUGAGGUGCCUUCCGAGUUCCCUGGAACGGGACGCCAUAGAGGGUGAGAGCCCCGUCUGGUUGGACACCGAUCCUCUGUAAAGCUCCUUCGACGAGUCGAGUAGUUUGGGAAUGCUGCUCUAAAUGGGAGGUAUAUGUCUUCUAAAGCUAAAUACCGGCCAGAGACCGAUAGCGCACAAGUAGAGUGAUCGAAAGAUGAAAAGAACUUUGAAAAGAGAGUUAAACAGUACGUGAAAUUGUUGAAAGGGAAGCGCUUGUGACCAGACUUGGGCUUGGUUGAUCAUCCGGGGUUCUCCCCGGUGCACUCUUCCGGCUCAGGCCAGCAUCAGUUCGCCCUGGGGGAUAAAGGCUUCGGGAAUGUGGCUCUCUCCGGGGAGUGUUAUAGCCCGCUGCGUAAUACCCUGUGGCGGACUGAGGUUCGCGCAUC